rnacentral:rRNA from 1 species
GACGAACGCUGGCGGCGUGCCUAAUACAUGCAAGUCGAGCGGGCUUAUUCGAGUAGCUUGCUAUUUGGAUAAGUCAGCGGCGGACGGGUGAGUAACACGUGGGUAAUCUGCCUCGUAGUCUGGGAUAACAAGCCGAAAGGUUUGCUAAUACCGGAUGAGUUCAUGUAUUGCAUAGUGACAUGAAGAAAGGGAGACCCGCUAUGAGAUGAGCCCGCGUCCCAUUAGCUAGUUGGUGGGGUAAAGGCCUACCAAGGCGACGAUGGGUAGCCGGCCUGAGAGGGUGGACGGCCACACUGGGACUGAGACACGGCCCAGACUCCUACGGGAGGCAGCAGUGGGGAAUCUUGCGCAAUGGGGGCAACCCUGACGCAGCCAUGCCGCGUGAAUGAUGAAGGCCUUAGGGUUGUAAAGUUCUUUUGCCCGUGACGAUGAUGACGGUAACGGAGAAUAAGCUCCGGCUAACUUCGUGCCAGCAGCCGCGGUAAGUCACG